rnacentral:ncRNA from 1 species
GAGAGCCGUGUGAUGGGUCACUAUCCAGCACGGUUCGAAGAGCACUUUUAGUCAUUAAUUGAUAAAAAUAUCAGCCAGUCUGCCAUAU